rnacentral:rRNA from 1 species
GAUCAUGGCUCAGGACGAACGCUGGCGGCGUGCUUAACACAUGCAAGUCGAACGGUGACCCAGGGCUUGCCCUGGUGAUCAGUGGCGAACGGGUGAGUAACACGUGGGCAACCUGCCCCUGACUUCGGGAUAACUCCUCGAAAGAGGAGCUAAUACCGGAUACGACCACUUCGGACAUCCGAUGGUGGUGGAAAGUUUUUCGGUCAGGGAUGGGCCCGCGGCCUAUCAGCUAGUUGGUGGGGUAAUGGCCUACCAAGGCGACGACGGGUAGCCGGCCUGAGAGGGCGACCGGCCACACUGGGACUGAGACACGGCCCAGACUCCUACGGGAGGCAGCAGUGGGGAAUAUUGCGCAAUGGGCGAAAGCCUGACGCAGCGACGCCGCGUGAGGGAUGAAGGCUUUCGGGUUGUAAACCUCUUUCAGCAGGGACGAAGCGAAAGUGACGGUACCUGCAGAAGAAGCACCGGCUAACUACGUG